rnacentral:rRNA from 1 species
GAUGAACGCUGGCGGCGUGCCUAAUACAUGCAAGUCGAGCGAACGGACGAGAAGCUUGCUUCUCUGAUGUUAGCGGCGGACGGGUGAGUAACACGUGGAUAACCUACCUAUAAGACUGGGAUAACUUCGGGAAACCGGAGCUAAUACCGGGUGAUAUUUUGAACCUCAUGGUUCAAAAGUGAAAGACGGUCUUGCUGUCACUUAUAGAUGGAUCCGCGCUGCAUUAGCUAGUUGGUAAGGUAACGGCUUACCAAGGCAGCGAUGCAUAGCCGACCUGAGAGGGUGAUCGGCCACACUGGAACUGAGACACGGUCCAGAAUCCUACGGGAGGCAGCAGUAGGGAAUCUUCCGCAAUGGGCGAAAGCCUGACGGAGCAACGCCGCGGGAGUGAUGAAGGUCUUCGGAUCGUAAAAAUCUGUUAUUAGGGAAGAACAUAUGUGUAAGUAACUGUGCACAGCUUGACGGUACCUAAUCAGAAAGCCACGGCUAACUACGUG